GACGCCUGCCCAGUGCCGGAAGGUUAAGUAAAUUAGUCAUUCUUCGGAAGAAGCUAUAUGAAUCAAGCCCCGGUGAACGGCGGCCGUAACUCUGACGGUCCUAAGGUAGCGAAAUUCCUUGUCGCGUAAGUUGUGACCCGCACGAAAGGCGUAACGAUCUGGGUACUGUCUCAGAGAGAGACUCGGUGAAAUAGACAUGUUCUGUGAAGAUGCGAACUUCUUACACCUGGACAGAAAGACCCUAUGAAGCUUGACUGUAUCUUGAAAUUGAAUUUGAGUUUUUUUUGCGCAGUCAAGGUGGGAGGCUAUGAAAAAGUUUUUUCGGAAAUUUUGGAGCCAUCAGUGAGAGACCACUCUUUAAAAACUAAAAUUCUCAUAGUGUUUUCUUGAAGCAGAACACUUGACAGUUUUAGGUGGACAGUUUUUUUGGGGCGAAAACCUCCUAAAAAGUAACGGAGGUGUACAAAGGUUCCUUCAAACUGGACGGAAAUCAGUUGAAGAGUACAAAGGCAAAAGGAGCUUAACUGCAAGACUGACACGUCGAGCAGAGGCGAAAGCCGGUCUUAGUGAUCCGACGGUUCCGUGUGGAAGGGCCGUCGCUCAACGGAUAAAAGUUACUCUAGGGAUAACAGGCUGAUCUUCCCCAAGAGUUCACAUCGACGGGAAGGUUUGGCACCUCGAUGUCGGCUCAUCGCAACCUGGGGCGGUAGUACGUCCC
rnacentral:rRNA from 1 species